UACAAAGCUGGUAACAAAAAUUAUGCUUGAAAACGACCUGGGAAAAAAAGCUCAAAAACCAGAAAAAUGAAAUCCAUAAAAUUGUACCCCACCUGAAAAAGACGUUGUGUAGUCUACCAGCACCAUCAUUUGCUCCGACCGUCGGCCUCAGUUUCGAAGAGAGGAGGUGGAGAUCUACAAGAAAACACUUUCCUUUUCUCAAAAGAGGCUCCUCGGAGUUGUCGUCGGAAAUCGCCACCGGCAGCGAGGAACAGCGUCGACAGUCGCCGGAGAAAACCGAACAAUGGAACUUCUUCUAAUCACUGUGGUGCCGUUCUUUUUCCCAAAAACCCUCGAAUCUGACCGGAAAAGUCAGACAGGCGGUGGUGGCUCGCCGGGACAUCUCCAGUGGCGCAUCUCCGGCGCGGUUGCAGUGGUGACACCGUGGUUUGGUCAUGGAAGUGAACGACGGUGUUUGAUUUGUGAUUCUGUGAUGAUGGUUUUUUUUUUUUUUUUGUGGCUGUGUGGUACUGGAUGAUCGAUGAAGUAGAAGUAGACUACCACCGCGAGCCCCUGCGACCACCGCUUCAGACCCCAUCUCCGCCGCGGGCUUCGUCAGGGCUGCAUCUUCCUAAUGCUUUCCAUGGUUGAGUGGUGGAGGUGGGUGGGAAGGGAUAAGGAUAUUUUAGUAAAGUAACAUAUAUUUAACAACUAAAUUAUUUUAAUGGUUAA